rnacentral:tRNA from 1 species
GAAAAGAGUUAGAAAUACAGAA